ACAUGUCACUAUUCAAGAAAUUAUAGAUAUGAUUAAUAUUCUUGAUCCAAAUAAAGCCUCGGGACCAGAUGUGAUUAGCCACAGGAUGCUCAAGAUUUGUCCAGAUAAAGUUGCAAUACCUCUUCAAAUUAUAUUCAACAAGUCCCUUAGUCAAUGUAUAUAUCCAACCAGCUGGAAAAUUGCAAAUGUAAUAGCUAUUUUCAAAAAGGGGGACUCUUCUUUGCCAUCUAAUUACAGACCAAUAUCUUUAAUUAGCUGCGUGGGGAAAGUUAUGGAAC
rnacentral:lncRNA from 1 species